AUUGAACGCUGGCGGCAGGCCUAACACAUGCAAGUCGAGCGGUAACACAGGGAGCUUGCUCCUGGGUGACGAGCGGCGGACGGGUGAGUAAUGUCUGGGAAACUGCCUGAUGGAGGGGGAUAACUACUGGAAACGGUAGCUAAUACCGCAUAACGUCGCAAGACCAAAGAGGGGGACCUUCGGGCCUCUUGCCAUCAGAUGUGCCCAGAUGGGAUUAGCUAGUAGGUGGGGUAACGGCUCACCUAGGCGACGAUCCCUAGCUGGUCUGAGAGGAUGACCAGCCACACUGGAACUGAGACACGGUCCAGACUCCUACGGGAGGCAGCAGUGGGGAAUAUUGCACAAUGGGCGCAAGCCUGAUGCAGCCAUGCCGCGUGUAUGAAGAAGGCCUUCGGGUUGUAAAGUACUUUCCGCGGGGAGGAAGGCGAUAAGGUUAAUCACCUUGUCGAUUGACGUCCCCGCAAAAGAAGCACUGGCUACUCCGUGCCCGCAGAUGCGGUAAUGCGGAGGGGUGCAAGUGUUA
rnacentral:rRNA from 1 species